rnacentral:lncRNA from 1 species
UUGGCGGAAGUGGGGUAAAGAGAGAUGGGUAUUUUAGGAGUACAACCAUGAAUGGUGGGACGAGGUAUGGAGGUGGGGAAAACUCAGGUGAUGGUGCGGGGGGAUUGAGAAAGGCGCCACCGGUGGAGAAUGGGUUGAUGUGUAGCUUGGAGGAGCUGUACAUGGGUGCUACCAGGAAGAUGAAGAUAUCAAGAAAUGUUCUUGAUGUCCAUGGGUACGUUUCAUUGUAUCUGUUUUCGUGUAUUUGUUUAUAGAAUAACGACUGAUUGAUUGAAUAUUUGAAUUUUUAACAAGGAAAAUGAUUGGAAUUUUGUUCUUGAAAUGCUGCGUUUGAUGUAUUGUGGUCGUAUGUCAUUGAAUUCUUGCAUAGUUAUAUUUGUAAUUAGUUGUUGUACUCAAGAAUGAAGUGGGGUUUUGGGAUUGAGUCACAUUACUUGGGAAUAGAAGUAAAUGUCUCCGCACUGCAAGUUAACAGAGCCAGGAAGCGGUCUAGCUCCUUGUGCCUUGAGCAAUGGCUGAACUCAUGACACAAUUAGGCCUUUUAUACCUAUCUGCGAUGCAGCUAACAUCAAGCUAUGACUAGUAAAUAUACGACUUCAUACUGUUUCCUUGCUGAUCUCUUUCUUUAUCUUAUCAUCUGGGACUAGUAAAAGAUGCGUUAGUGCUUAAGAACUGUCCUCUUUAUGAUCUCCUAGUGCUCAAGAAUUUGCUUCUUUCUUUUCUUUUUCCUUCCUUUUGUGAAGAUUUUGAGAUUGGGAAAGGGCAUUAAUCUUGUAAUUUGGGUUACUCACGAGUACAUAUUCUGCUCGACACUUCACUUUCUGGCAUCUAGUUAGCCCUAAAAAUUGAUCUUUGGAUAGGUUUUCUGCUCAUGGCUAAAAUUGGCUUGCUAGCGCUCAUGGGAUUCUCACAUUCCCUGUCAAAUUCUUAGUUGGACAGAAAAUCUAUUCAAUGAGGGAUAGUACAAACAUAGAUGAUAUAUUACAGUCUCUCUUUUCACGGCUAAGGAUGUUUAUCUGCACUUUCAUGUCUCUCACUGUGGUCACAACUGGGUGUUUGUCAACAGCAAAGCUUACACUUAUUUGCAUUAGUUCAUCCGAUGUUCCUUAACCUUAUGCCUGCUUAUGAAAAUGAGUCACGUGAAUACAGAUGACGAAAGCAAGUGAGAGAAGUAAAGGAGUUGAUUCCAUCUGGGAGAUUGCGUCCUAGGCCACCCCCAUAGGAAGUUUUAUUUUGGAAAACCAAUUGAUCACUACCAACGAGACUGUUCUUGAUCUGACAAAUGUUAUAGAAUGAUAGGAUCACUGCAUUUGAUGCCCAUGGAGAAGGAUGCAAUGAAGUGUACGCUCCUUCAAUGAUACUAAGAAAAAGAAACUUACUAGGAUUCCUCCCCUAACGGUGAGUGAACGAGGAAUUGCUCAACUUAGAGACUUGCGUUCAAUUGUUCAAGACUCAGCUGCCACAAUUGGUUGCUUGGACCAACUCCAAUUAGCUCGUCCACCACUGUUGAUAAAAAAAUGAUACUUACUUCAAUGCUGGCACCUGGCAUCUAGUUAGCCCUAAAAAUUGAUCUUUGGAUAGGUUUUCUGCUCAUGGCUAAAAUUGGCUUGCUAGCGCUCAUGGGAUUCUCACAUUCCCUGUCAAAUUCUUAGUUGGACAGAAAAUCUAUUCAAUGAGGGAUAGUACAAACAUAGAUGAUAUAUUACAGUCUCUCUUUUCACGGCUAAGGAUGUUUAUCUGCACUUUCAUGUCUCUCACUGUGGUCACAACUGGGUGUUUGUCAACAGCAAAGCUUACACUUAUUUGCAUUAGUUCAUCCGAUGUUCCUUAACCUUAUGCCUGCUUAUGAAAAUGAGUCACGUGAAUACAGAUGACGAAAGCAAGUGAGAGAAGUAAAGGAGUUGAUUCCAUCUGGGAGAUUGCGUCCUAGGCCACCCCCAUAGGAAGUUUUAUUUUGGAAAACCAAUUGAUCACUACCAACGAGACUGUUCUUGAUCUGACAAAUGUUAUAGAAUGAUAGGAUCACUGCAUUUGAUGCCCAUGGAGAAGGAUGCAAUGAAGUGUACGCUCCUUCAAUGAUACUAAGAAAAAGAAACUUACUAGGAUUCCUCCCCUAACGGUGAGUGAACGAGGAAUUGCUCAACUUAGAGACUUGCGUUCAAUUGUUCAAGACUCAGCUGCCACAAUUGGUUGCUUGGACCAACUCCAAUUAGCUCGUCCACCACUGUUGAUAAAAAAAUGAUACUUACUUCAAUGCUGGCACCUCUUUGUAGGUCAUUGAGGAGGCCUAAGUGACCAUGAAGAUAGCAACAAAGAUUAUUUCCAAUGUCACUGGCAAUUAUGCCAAAAACCACAUGCUCAUGCCUGCAGGCAAGCUCUGCAAAGAUGGUAUGAACUCAAAAAUGGCCAAACUCCUCUAGAUGACCAGAGGCAUAGAUGGCGACAUGGUCGAGCUCAUGUCGUUGGAGAUGGUGGAGCUUAUACCUCAAGGAGUAGCUGAGCUUGUGCCUCAUGACAUGUUCAAGCUCAUACCUCAUGAGAUGGCCAAGCUUGAAAGAGAUUGCUCAUAAACGUGUUGAAUCCUAAAUUUCUUGCUCACCUUUCUCUCCAGAGAUCAAGCACUGAUAUGAAUGAUUCUGUAAUGCUUCUGGACUAUUUUGUAGCACCCCUGAACUCUCCUAUUUUGACCCUUACACCUGUGUUAGCAAUUGCAAGCGAAUCAUAGUCAAUAACUUAACAGGUACUAUUAAUUUUUAUUUUUGUUCCUUUUUUUUUCAAACUUUAUAUAACUUCAAAUUUUAGAAGCUAGCCCACAAACCUUUUAUCUUCUGCUGCUAAAAAAGUUUAUUUCCUGCUAUAUAUGGUAGAGAAAUCACCCAGAUUUUCUUAGCUAUCCUUCAUCAAGGUUCUUUCUACCUAUCGCUUCCAGUAUUAUAGGAUUACGAAGUGCCAAAUCUGUGACUUACAGUAUACAUAUUUACUAUAUUGGUUGGCUCUCUGAAAGCAUUAAUUUUGUGAACGUGCAUGCAGGUGGUUGUGCCAUCAUGGUUAUUUGUUGACACUGUUCUUUCCAGUUUCUCUUUUACUCUUUAUUUUCCUGAUGCUACAAUGUGUUGAAAUUCUUAUAAUUUUUGAGCAUUUAGUUGAUCGUUUCUCGAAUACUAUGAUUUUCCCUAAAGAUACGAUGUAUCCUUUGAAUUUGGAUACUUAUGCAGUUGUCAUUGUGGUCUGCAUAUAGCGAUGAUGACCAUUGCUUAGGUAAAAUGGGGUUACUAAAAAUGACAUGUUCCAAGAUAAUGUGAUGGGCUGUUCUGUUGCAAAUUUUGUAUUGCUUAAGCUGACGAAGAGCUGAAUUAUUAAAUUCCAUUAAGAUUGGGUUUUCCAACUGCUUCUAGGAAUUUUUAUAUGACUUAAGCAACACACUAAGCCCCUAUUUGAGCCCCAUUUUUGGCCAAAAUGCAUUUGGAAAUAGUGUUUUGUUGGAUAAUGUGUGGUUAAAAAAUAAGGAAAAGUUUUGAGUUUGCGUGUAUUNNNNNNNNNNNNNNNNNNNNNNNNNNNNNNNNNNNNNNNNNNNNNNNNNNGGGCCAAACAUAGGCUAAAAGUUUUUUUGAUUCACCUGGUUAUGACCCCAAAUCCGUAAAUGUGGGACAUUUUCUCUUCCAAGUGAAACCCCUGGAUGGUGCCACAAUAUGUUCGACAAACAACAUUGUCUUGAAUUGAGAUAUGCACUUGAAAUGGAUGUCCGAGUAGCAGAGGCUUUGUCCUCUUCAGGGGCAACAUUAGUUUAAUUUGAAAUCAUGAUGAUUGUAAUCCAGUGAUCCACACCUACAUUGUGAAGCUCUUUCUAUUCGACCAUAUUUCGAUUGUUAAUACGAUAUAUAAGGACCGCUACUACAAAGAGUAUUACACCCUUGAUCGUGAAAUAUCGAUUGCUUGUUGACCCCUGUGAAUUGCGUGAAAGUAGGAUACAUUGUGAAGCUCUUUCUAUGUGUUUUGUUGAUCAAAUUUUAUACGAACUUUUAUGAUAAUAAUGUAUAUAUUUAAUCAAUUUAAUCCAAUAUUAAGAUAUAAUUGGAAUUGUGCUUAUGUAUUAAUCAAAUGUUAAGAUAAAAUUGGAGCUGUGCUUGUGUAUUGUCAUAUAAAUUCCCAUGUUCGGUAUUACAGUUGAAAAUUUUGAUUCAUAUGUUUCUUUUCAUAGUUCUUUUGAGUGAAUGUUUGAUGUACUUCGACUUUGGCUUGGUAUGAACUUUAUCUUGCAGUAAACCUCAAGUGUUCGAGGAGAUCUUAUCUAUUGAUAUAAAACAAGGCUGGAAGAAGGGCACAAAAAUAACUUUCCCCGAGAAGGGCAAUGAAGAGCCUGGCAUCAUCCCAGCAGAUCUUAUUUUUGUGAUAGAUGAAAAACCUCAUCCUAUUUAUACAAGGGACGGUAACGAUUUGAUUGUGAAGCACGAGAUAACACUUCUUGAAUCCCUCACGGGGAAGACUAUUGAGCUGACAACACUAGAUGACAGGAGUAUCACAAUCCCUAUAACAGAGAUCGUCAGACCAGGACACGAGCUAGUUGUUCCUAAUGAAGGAAUGCCAAUUUCGAAGGAUCCUAGGAAGAAGGGAAAUCUAAGAAUCCAAAUUGAUGUGAGGUACCCAAAAAAACUCACCGAAGUGCAGAAACAUGAAUUGAGGAGAGUUUUGGGAGGAAGCUCGUGAUAUCGCCUCACAGGCACUAGGCGUGAGAAUAUUGGUGCAGGCAUUUAAGUCAACAGUUGGGUGAAAAUACGGUACAUGUAUUCAAUUGAAGAAUGUGAAUAAUGGAAGAGUGCUGAUAUUAUUAGCUGGAUGGUUGACUCUUGUUUUGGCAGCUCGGGCGACUCUGUAGACAAAUGUGAAAUGCCUCUUGCUAAAAGUAGGUGGAUAUUUCGAUUCUUGGACUGAUACGAGUUUCUCAGGACUACGUACAUCAUUCAUAUUGGUAUGAACCUGUUUCUUGUUAUUGCUAGAAAUUGUUCUCAUUUACAAGGUAUACUUGAAAAGUAGUUUUAAUUUAUUUUUACUGUGGAUGAGAUGGAUUUUGAGACUUCUUUCGUCUUGGAGUAAUCUCGAAUGCACUUUCUUUUCAUUUGUUAGGAGUUGGG